UGAAGAGGUGCCUCCUGGCUCAGUGAAAGGUCAAGCUCCAACUGCUCACAGGGCAACCUGAUAUGCUCGUACCGGUGGCCACCUGAUGGGGGCUGGCAGAGGGAAUAUAGAUUCCUUGGGGAACAUUAAAAUGAAGUUCAGUGAAGUCAGAGGAGUUGGAGGUAGAAAGUAAUCCCUUGGAAGUGCCUCUUCAUAGCCAGGCCACACGUCAGAACCACUCAGGGAAUGCUUUCCCCAACUCCUGAACCAAGCAGCCUCCCAGAACUUAGCUCCUGGGAAGAAAUUCUCAAGACCAGUCUCGUUUUAACAAAGCUCUGGUAUCAAACAGGCAGGAGAUAUGCUAAGGACAUCUGGGGGUGGGGAGGUGGGGGGUGGGGAUGAGGACCACAAUGUUGUUCUACUAGUUUGGGGAAAAGAAUGUUGUUCUACUAGAUUUCCGGGAAUCCUGCAAUUGGCCAGAAACACAGGAAGAAAGAAGGAGAAAUAAAGGAAGAUUUAAUCACCCAUAGUUAAGUAAAUUUCAGUGUAUA